rnacentral:rRNA from 1 species
GAUGAACGCUGGCGGCGUGCCUAAUACAUGCAAGUCGAGCGAACAGAUAAGGAGCUUGCUCCUUUGACGUUAGCGGCGGACGGGUGAGUAACACGUGGGUAACCUACCUAUAAGACUGGGAUAACUUCGGGAAACCGGAGCUAAUACCGGAUAACAUUUGGAACCGCAUGGUUCUAAAGAGAAAGAUGGCUUUGCUAUCACUUAUAGAUGGACCCGCGCCGUAUUAGCUAGUUGGUAAGGUAACGGCUUACCAAGGCGACGAUACGUAGCCGACCUGAGAGGGUGAUCGGCCACACUGGAACUGAGACACGGUCCAGACUCCUACGGGAGGCAGCAGUAGGGAAUCUUCGGCAAUGGGCGAAAGCCUGACGGAGCAACGCCGCGUGGGUGAUGAAGGGUUUCGGGUCGUAAAACUCUGUUAUUAGGGAAGAACAAACGUGUAAGUAACUGUGCACGUCUUGACGGUACCUAAUCAGAAAGCCACGGCUAACUACGUG